AGAGAGAAAUGUCACCCGGAGUCCCGGCCCGUGGGGGAGAGGUGGCGCGUUAGAGAUGUGUGUGUGAGAGAGAGGGGGAGCGAGACCUCCGCCAGCCCCGCGGACUUGUCAAGCAGAGCAGUUGCCAAGUGAUCUUCCCCACAGCACCCAUGAACUUCAGCCUUGAACUGAAGAGGACUCAUCAGAUGCCUUAGGGGAAACACCAUGGAACUGGAAUAGAAGCAGGGAUCUCCAUGAAGGACAGACAACUACAGUCUUGGUGUGUGGAGGAACAGGUCCUGUUCUCGCUGUUGCUGCUCCCACUUGGGUGGACUCUGUAAUUGAUUAGGUGUGGGUAGGGCCCUAUUGAAAUUGAGGAGAUUCUGCAGUAGUGCAGGGUUCUUUUUGUGACAGUUCAGUUGCAAGAUCAGGACCCUGCAGUGACUCCUUACUGUGAAUUCUGUCAGUGUAUCACUGACUGUGCUGGAACCUGCCUUUUGGGAUAAUGUAAGUCCUGCUUUUCCCCGAGAUGUACUUUAGCCAUGACAUAAUCCUAAAGCAUUGCUCAUUGGAAAACGAAUAUCAUUUACAUGCAUUCUUUUAAUUAUGUUUUUUUUGGCAGUACCAAAUAAUAUAUUCCUCAAAACUUCUUAAUGGCACUGAGGCUUUGUGGAUAGUUGGUCACAUGAUGAGAAAAUUCAGCUGUAAGUACACUGAAAUGAUUGCAUUUUUCACUAGUUAGUCGACUGUUAUUGAUG